GACGAACGCUGGCGGCGUGCUUAACACAUGCAAGUCGAACGGAAAGGCCCUGCUUGCAGGGUACUCGAGUGGCGAACGGGUGAGUAACACGUGGGUGAUCUGCCCUGCACUUCGGGAUAAGCCUGGGAAACUGGGUCUAAUACCGGAUAGGAGCCAUUUUUAGUGUGAUGGUUGGAAAGUUUUUUCGGUGUAGGAUGAGCUCGCGGCCUAUCAGCUUGUUGGUGGGGUAAUGGCCUACCAAGGCGGCGACGGGUAGCCGGCCUGAGAGGGUGGACGGCCACAUUGGGACUGAGAGACGGCCCAGACUCCUACGGGAGGCAGCAGUGGGGAAUAUUGCACAAUGGGCGCAAGCCUGAUGCAGCGACGCCGCGUGGGGGAGGACGGCCUUCGGGUUGUAAACUCCUUUCGCUAGGGACGAAGCUUUUUGUGACGGUACCUAGAGAAGAAGCACCGGCUAACUACGUG
rnacentral:rRNA from 1 species